rnacentral:lncRNA from 1 species
GAGAUUGACUAGACAUAGUGCCACUGUCAUCCCUGCUGGAGAAGGUCCAAAGCACCUCCACCUCUGUGCUUCCAGAGGGGCAGUGUGGUGGCCACUUCAAAUGCUCAGGCUGUACGAUGCACUAGAGCAUCUACCUGGGCAAGGGAUAUGCUGUAUGACACUCUCCUGAUGCUGGGCAGUGGCUGUGAGCCAAAGCACCCAGGCAGCCCUGCCAUCAGAAGGGUAAACCACGGACACCUGAUGCCUUCCUGAAGGAAGAGCACUACGCCUGCCAAACCAUCAAGCGUUGAUGCUCCAGCGCCUUCUACCCAUGGUUCUCCAGCCUCAGCAGUAGAGAGAGAAAUUGAUGACCCUGUCAUUGUAGCAUCCCCAUCACCCAGCAAUUAAUUUUAGUUCAAUGCUUCAAACGCUCUUCAGGCGCAAUGUGCGUUCAGCUGUGUCAGCUAAUGGCACUGGAGAUACAGACAUGAAAGAGACAAUGCGUCCUCAAGGAUCUCACAGUGUGUGGUGAGGUGGACACACACACAUAUCUAAGCAC